CAAAAGCAAGUUGGACUCGUCUUUGGCUCUGAUACCAAAACUGGCGCAGCGGGACUUGAUAGAAAACCUAAGCUCGUUGAUUCGAUGUGAAUGGCCAAACAAAGGGCUGUCUGCAGUUCGUUGACUCUUGUGAAUACCGAACAAAGACGAACUUGAAAGUCGUUGAUUCCUUGGAAUAGCCGAGAUUCAAGAGAGAAGGGAAGCUUAAAGCUCUGUUUUUAAAU
rnacentral:sRNA from 1 species